rnacentral:rRNA from 1 species
AGCGAACGCUGGCGGCAGGCCUAACACAUGCAAGUCGAACGAACUCUUCGGAGUUAGUGGCGGACGGGUGAGUAACACGUGGGAACGUGCCUCUAGGUUCGGAAUAACUCAGGGAAACUUGUGCUAAUACCGACUGUGCCCUUCGGGGGAAAGAUUUAUCGCCUUUAGAGCGGCCCGCGUCUGAUUAGCUAGUUGGUGAGGUAAAGGCUCACCAAGGCGACGAUCAGUAGCUGGUCUGAGAGGAUGAUCAGCCACAUUGGGACUGAGACACGGCCCAAACUCCUACGGGAGGCAGCAGUGGGGAAUCUUGCGCAAUGGGCGAAAGCCUGACGCAGCCAUGCCGCGUGAAUGAUGAAGGUCUUAGGAUUGUAAAAUUCUUUCACCGGGGACGAUAAUGACGGUACCCGGAGAAGAAGCCCCGGCUAACUUCGUG